AUAAACUAGUAAGUGGUAAGUAAAUAUAAUUUCAGAGUUGUGAUAUUUAGUUAGUUGUAUUCUUUCUUCCAGAAUCACUGGUAGAUAAGGCUUCACAGCCAAAAAGCAGCAUUCAAAUGUAACCAAUAUACAGGAUAAUUGACAAGCAACAAGAGGUGUGAUAUUGAUAUAAGUAAAGCAAUAGAAAUAAUGGAAAGAGCUCGCCUGAUCAAGGUGUUGCCAGCGUAUAUCUUUCUCCAGUGGAUAUUCUCUUCGUUCGAAACUUUGUAGAGAUCUGGUGUGAUCAUAAAUGAUCUUGAGAUUCUGUGGUAAGUGGUAUAGUUGUAAUCAAUGAUCUUCUGGUUGCCAGAGACUUCUUGUAGUACCGUAACAAAGGUAACAAUAAGCUAAUCGUCAAGAUUUAACCAGCGUACAACGAAGAGAUAAAGCGAAAGGGCCAAAAAUAAAAAGGUCUGAAACAAAGUAAGGUUAUACGAACAAUUCUGUGCCAAGUUCCAGUUUUAUUUGGGAAAGGUGCCUAUUAAGAUACCUCUCAAUGGAUAGUUGACAAGCUAGUGGAAGAUGUACCUGUAUAUAGUGGAUGGCCUGAAGUGAGGUCUAACGAUUACGGCUUGAAUAGGAAGAUAGAAUAAUUCAAAUCCCAAAACACUGAAGUGGAUAUUUCUUUCUUUUCUCAAGAAUAAGAAACUCUUAUAUUCACCUCCUAAUACGUAUGAGGCAAAUCCAUCCAAGAUGUGAGCACAAUUCUCAAAUUCAGCUCUAGCCAUGUGCCGUGAUGAUCAAAAAAGGAAAGGAUAUCCCCCUUUCAAAGGAAUCUCAGAGAACACUCGAAGCACCAAUUACUACAAGGCAAUUACAAACAAGAACUGAUUGAUGGGUACAGACACUUAGAAUAUAACGGAUCUCAUGAAAGCGCUAUUUCAAAAAUGUCAUAACAAUAAAUAAAUAAACAUC